AGAUUGAACGCUGGCGGCAGGCCUAACACAUGCAAGUCGAGCGGUAGAGAGGUGCUUGCACCUCUUGAGAGCGGCGGACGGGUGAGUAAUGCCUAGGAAUCUGCCUAGUGGUGGGGGAUAACGUUCGGAAACGGACGCUAAUACCGCAUACGUCCUACGGGAGAAAGCGGGGGACCUUCGGGCCUCGCGCCAUUAGAUGAGCCUAGGUCGGAUUAGCUAGUUGGUGAGGUAAUGGCUCACCAAGGCGACGAUCCGUAACUGGUCUGAGAGGAUGAUCAGUCACACUGGAACUGAGACACGGUCCAGACCUCCUACGGGA
rnacentral:rRNA from 1 species